UCCCUCGUAUUGUUUCCACAAAAUGUACAAUUAAAGUUACCUCAGUUACGACUCAUUUCACCCCUCUUAUUGUUCCCUCAGUUACUGAGUAAACAUUUGUCCCUCGUAUUGUUCCCUCAAAUUAGUGUCAGACAAAGGAUUGAAAUCAACAAAGUGAACCACAAGAAUUAGUUAAUCCAUAUGUACCAAAUUCUUGAAAUGAUUUUCCUAAAAGGAUUAGCAAAAUUUCCUUGUUAGUACAUACUUGGCUACAUUGACUUCGGUCAGAAGUCACAAAAUCAUGCUAGUACAUUGAUAUCAGACAAAAUAGACCUUCCGUAAAAUGCAUUAAACAAGGCUAUUAAUUUCUUACUUGGUAAUACAUCACCAUAGCACUUGAGAGUUCUUAGAAAAGUCAAGUUACAGAGACAAUUUGCUACACUAUUUGGCAACAAGAUAGAGAAUUCUUUAUAGCAGGGACACAUCUUAUUUAAAAUAACAAAGACGAAAAGAGUUGAACUUCGGUAAUUAGAAGACAGCAUCAUCUUAAACAAAGAUUUAAAUCCGUCUUUUUCCCUAUUAAGUUUCACCUAAGAAGACAAGUAAAAGUACACCCGAGAUCAAACACUACCCCAGCAAGGAUUAGGCACAUUCUGCUGCCAUUAUUUCCAUGUCCCUGGUCCUCUUUAUGAUUACUCCAUCUAGAGGCAAAAUAGACUCGGUCAAGAGCACCAAAAUUAGUCCAGAAGAAAAAUAUAGAUAGUAGGUAGACCGUAAGACCUGAAGAAAAAUACAGCUAGAAACUAGGAACAAGGACAAAAUCAAUAGUAGUCUAGAAGAAAAUAAACAGUUAGCUACCUAUUAGCAGCAGCAAGAAAAGCCAAAAUCAGAUACUAGGCAGACCGUAAUACCCAUUCCAGAAGUUUAUCUUUUUGCCUUAUUAAGUUUAACCUAUAAAACAUUAAUUAAAGAAGCCCCUACAUCAAACAAUAACCCUGGGAUGCAUUCACAUCUUAAACAAAGCUUUAGAUCCCAAUCGAUUUCUCUAGAUUCCCCUGUUCAUUGGUAUCUCCAAUCUACUCGCGUGAUCAUAACAACUUAACGUGUUUCCUCAACAGCUUUGUCCUUCCAACCCACUUCAUGUCAACUUUAGUACCAAACUGAAAGAAGAUUCACAUUGACUAAAUAUGCAACAGAAUGAAAAGAUAGUCCUUGAGAUAAUUAACAGUAAGAUAUAAGCAGCAAGGAAAAGGACCAAACUAGAUAGUAUGUCUUACUUUAACUCUUAUUCAGUAAUUCCCGUAUUUCGUCUUUUCCCUAUUUAAGUUUCACCUAAGAAGACAAGUAAAAAUAAGCCCGAGAUCAAACACUACCCUAGCAAGGUACUCCCUUAUAAAGUGGCUCAAGAACACCAAAACAAGUCCAGAAGAAACAUACAGAUAGUAGGUAGACCAUAAUACCUGAAGAAAAACACAGCUAGUAACUACGACUGUAGGAGCAAGGACAAAAUCAAAACUGGUACAGAAGAUAAUAAACAGUUAGCUACCUAUUAGCAGAAGCAUGAAAAGCCAAAAUCAGAUACUAUGCAGACCGUAAUACCUAUUCCAGAAGUACCG
rnacentral:lncRNA from 1 species